AUGCUUACCACCCCAGCCAUCCUACAGUCUAAGCUUGAUGCCCUCAUUCUCACACAAAUUAUCAUUGAACCUACCAGGUACAACCCCAAAUCUGUAAACAAGGGCACCCUCAUAGAUAUCAUCCUAACUAACUUACCCUCCAAAUACACCUCUGCUGUUUUCAACCAAGAUCUCAGCGACCGUAAUGGGUCUGCAGUCAAACAACCACCCCUCAUCACUGUCAAACGCUCCCUAAAACACUUCUGCGAACAGGCCUUUCUAAUUGAAAUGGCCGGGGUAUCCUGGAAUGACAUUGACCUCAUUCCGUCAGUAGAGGAUGCCUGGUUAUUCUUUAAAAGUGCCUUCCUCACCAUUUUAAAUAAGCAUGCUCCAUUCAAAAAAUUUAGAACUAGGAAUAGAUAUAUACCUUGGUUCACUCCAGACCUGUCUGCCCUUGACCAGCACAAAAACAUCCUGUGGCGUUCUGCAUUAGAAAUGCAACUUUUCAGGGAAGUUAGGAACCAAUAUACACACGCAGUUAGGAAAGCUAAGGCUAGCUUUUUCAAACAGAAAUUUGCAUCCUGUAGUACAAACUGUAGUACAAAAUGUUCUCUCUACAGUACGUUUUCUCUCUACAGUAUGUGUUCUCUCUACAGUAUGUGUUCUCUCU
rnacentral:lncRNA from 1 species